UACAGAUGAAGAAUCUUCCUGCAACUGCUCAGGUGAUUUUCUGAUCAACUUCUUAUUGAAAUGAUGGGUUUAGUGAUGAAGCUUUUUUUAUAUGUUGCUUCCGGAUAAGACUUGCCAGCAUGUCACAUGUAUUGCUUUGUGAGGGCCAUCCACCAGAUAGACCCACCAAGCAUGUUUCUUGGCCUCACUAAACUAGUUCGCAUUAAUGUAUGGAGAAGCUGGACAGUUAAAAAAUGUUGAGCAGCAGUUCACCUUGAAAUUACAAGCGAGGUCCACCCAAUUAGUGGAUUGGCUUUAUUGUUUGGUCAGAGAACAUACAUGGUGGGAUUUUAUUCUCUCACAUAUAUUCUGUGUUGGCAUGUGUCCCUGUGAGUAGCCUUCACAUUUUCUGUUGCAUUUGAUAAAUAUGGAAUGGUAGUUAUUCAUAAAUGGCAUUUGAUAAACAUACAGUCCAUCUGUUGCAUUUGAUAAAAUGUGCUUUAGCCACAUUUUUGCUUUGAUUGAAUUGUGAAUCAAAUUCUGAAGAUCUAGGUCUUGGUUUUCCCUGGAAACCCAUAUGUGCAUACAAAUGCUCAUUUUCUCUCAUUCCCUUUGGAAUCAUUCAACAGAUCAACAACAUUGGCUUAGAUGGAAAGAAAAAAAAUAUCAUAACAAGAAACUAUAGCAAUGGGUUGCUAUCUCACAUAGGGAAAGGAAAAACAUUUUAUAGCAGUCAACCUAUCGCAUAUAUAUCUGAGAGAUUUUGCAUUCUCAACAGUUACUGUGUAAUUUUCAUACAUUUAGUGUUGAUUCCAAAAAUUCUGUUUUGCUUGUGGAUUUCAUGAUGAUGCAGUCAUCUGAAUUUUGAAAUUUUCUUUUAUUGGAACUAAUGAAUAUAAUGACCAAAUUACAGAGAAUAUCACAGGUCUGAGCAAAGCAGAACUGUUGCUGUUGCAUUUGUACUCAAUGGUCUUGGGCUUGGGCCUAUCACAUCUAUUGCAGGAUGGUGGAUGAUACCAUCCAUAAAUGUGGAUGGAAGAAGAUGGCUGACACCAAGACACAAAAUUCAAGCUCCACAUGCUUGGACCUUGGCCUCAAAUCUAAGCAUUUUUCGUAUUAGUAGUCGCUUGCAGGAAUGAUCUUGCUACAACAGAACUGAGCAUAAUGAUUUUCUGGAUCCUUUGGUACUGGUAUCAAUGACUUCUGUCCAGUUAUUGUUUCUUGGUGAAACCAACGUUGCUAACAAAGCUGGUUUACCAUGGUUACUGAU